ensembl:lncRNA
UCGGAGGUGUGCAGAAAUUUGUUAGAGUAUCUGAGCCAAGCCUUAAGGAGUUUUUGAUUGCCGCAUUUGCAAAGUUUGGUGCGCCAGCCGUAACAGAAGGAGUGAAAGUUUUUGAUAGUUCAGGGACUGAGUUGGAUGAGGAUGUUUUUGAGGAUAUAGUAACAGAUCCCUCAACCGGGGUACUAACCAUCAAAUAUGAAACAGGUCUGGAAACAUCUGUUGCAGAAGUGUCUCCUGAGCGGUUCCAGUUAUCAUCGCCACAUUCAUCAGAUUCACAGGAUACGGUCAUCCUUUCAGACAGCCCUUUGAGGAAACGUCAGAAGCUGGAUGCAGAAGCUAAGCAAUUGGUGGAAUCCAUUCUCACAAGCAAACCUGGUGGAGAACGUAUAAUAAAUGAGUACAAUCGGACCAAGUCCCUGGUGGAUGAAACCAGAAGAAAAAUGGUCAACAUACUGGUAGCUGACAUGACAGAAAAAAAUGGGUAAUUUAUUUCUGGCCCUGUGAUUUUUACUAUCAUUUUCAAAUUAUUUUAAAUCUCUAUUAAUUCCAGCGAAGCUGACUAGUUCUUUUCCUUUUGAUCUUGCAG